CUAUAGCCUAGCUGUGAUGCGUUCAUACACGAUGUCCAGAUUUUCACAGGCGGACCAUUUACAAGUUAAAUCACGGGGGGAAAUGUAUUUUACCCACUGAUAGAACAUAGGCUUUCACCAAAUUGAUUUGUAUUUCUGGGGUGGAUUAUCCAUUUAAACUGUAUAGUGGAUUAUCAGUAGGUUGCCUCCCACUUUUCGCAAACGUUAUUUGGAAAGUCAGUGAAAGUAAAAUAGUCCAACUGUGAACCAAGACCGGGUCUGUUCAUCUCAAUACUUCAAAACUCCUAAGAACUUCACAAAUCCAGUGUGUGGGUCUUCCAGUGAGUUGGAGAGGAUUGAGGAACCAUGGCACAGUUUGGAACCUUGAUAUGGACUAUAACUAUUAUAUUGGUGCUUGUAAGCAUUGGAUCCUGUAUUGCAUGUGGUAGAGCAGAGUACAGAACAGGUGUUGAAUGCUGUCCCAUGUGUUCACC